UACGGAGGGUGCAAGCAUUAUCCGGAUUCACUGGGUUUAAGGGGUGCGUAGGUGGGUUAGUAAGUCAGUGGUGAAAUCUCCGUGCUUAACAUGGAAACUGCCAUUGAUACUACUAGUCUUGAAUCUUCCGGAGGUCAGCGGAAUAUGUCAUGUAGCGGUGAAAUGCUUAGAUAUGACAUAGAACACCAAUUGCGAAGGCAGCUGACUACAGGGGCAUUGACACUGAGGCACGAAAGCGUGGGGAUCAAACAGG
rnacentral:rRNA from 1 species